CCUGCUCGCGCGUCACACGCUGAGCUGUCGUUCAAUGCGUGGCUGCGAUCCCUUAUGUGGUGCGGCGGACGGACUGGAGACUGGGGACAGACGAGAGCAGAGGAACGGGGGCGGCGGCGCCGCCGCGCGGAGGAAACGAAAGGCUACCAAGCCGACGGCCUGGUUGCACGCGCCGCCGUGGCUCGUGGGGAUCCCCCGGUCGUCGAUUCGACCAAUGGGACUAGCAGCUAGCUAGGAAUAUUUUCUCAAGCUCUACUCUUGGGGCUGCAUCAGUCUUCCUGAUGUCAGGCACUGUGAUGGGCAGUGCCGAUCCUCCAUCCGCAUGUGAGGGCACCUACCUGCUGUUCCAUGGCGAGACCCUGCUCUCCAGUGGCGUCCGCGCCUCCCUCUACACCGUUGCUCUUGCAUACUGCUUCAUUGGGCUAUCCGCGAUCACUGCUCGGUUCUUCGAAUCCAUGGAGCAGAUCAUGAAACACUCCCGGGAGGUGGUCACCAUAGACCCGCACACGAACGCCCCUGUUGUCAAGCAAGAGAAGGUGUGGAACUACACGAUAGCGGACAUUGCCCUCCUUGCCUUCGGCACCAGCUUUCCACAGAUAUCCUUGGCUACAAUCGACGCAAUCCGUAAUCUUGGCCAGCUGAUCUAGGUCCGGGCACUCUCGUGGGUUCUGCUGCAUUUGAUAUGUUCCCAAUCCAUGCUGUCUGUGUGGUUAUGCCAAAGGCGGGCUCUAAGAAAAAGAUCACAGACUUGGGCGUUUGGCUAGUUGAGCUGUUCUGGUCUUUCUGGGCAUACAUUUGGCUGUAUGUUAUCUUAGAGGUAAAGGUCAAGCGAAAAGUUCAUGCCGAUGUACUAGGGCUGUGAAUGUACUAAGGCUAUGAAGGGUGAACACGAGUAGGUUUGAAUCAAGGGACGUGAGGAAUCCGAAUGGAGUCAUGAGCGAUCCACAUGUUGCACGGAAGAGCAAGAGUAUAUGGACGGGAUGGAGAAGGCAUCGGCCGAGUCAAGCGCGAUGGAGGCAAGUCGAGUAGGUGGCCUGGGAGCGGGAGCGAAAGACUUGGAGGCAUCAAAGGCUUGGCGGAGGCCGGACACACACCGACAUUGGUGAGUCACGCCUUGCGGGGUGUGCAAGAGGGUUUGACCGGUUUGACCUCAAAACCGGGGGGCAAGCCUGGCCGACCGGACGGCGUCAAGUUGAAGGAUGGGUGGCACCAUCACGAAUGUUGCGUCGAGGUGAAGCGAAGUCGUGAAGGCGUUAGGUCCGUUCGAUGUACCGACAAAAAGUUAGACGGUUUUACCCAUAUGAAGUAUUUGUGUUGUAUGUUUUAUGUAAUACUCCCUCCGUUCCAAAUUAUAAGUCAUUCCAACUUUCUUGGAGAGUUAAAGCA